UUAUUAUACAGAAAGGCUGUUGUCUGGGUGGAACUAGAGUAACAUUCUCUAGUGUGGUAAACUUCUUUCCUUUCUUGUUUCAUUUGCUGGCCGAGAUGUUGCUGAAUGGUCAGUGAACUUCAGCAGAAGUAAGGAGCUCUGUUUCUUAGAGACAAAGUGCCAAAGAAGCGUGCUUGCAAUAUGACAGGUACCAAGAGCUUUGAUAACUAGAGCUAUAGCCAGGGGGAAUGCAUACCUAUCCUUGUUUUGUGACUGUCUCCAGGGCUCAGGGACUUGCAGCUUGAACCAAACAGUGCCAACCAAGGGGGGGCGGGGUGGCGGCUGAAGGACAGGAUUGGGAGUAUUUAAUCUUUGUUUUCUUCCACAUUUCAGGUAAAGAAACC
ensembl:lncRNA